rnacentral:rRNA from 1 species
UGGGGAAUCUUGCACAAUGGGGGAAACCCUGAUGCAGCCAUGCCGCGUGGUGGAAGACACCCCUAUGGGGCGUAAACACCUUUUCUGGGGGAAGAAACCCCUGUUUUUCAGGGCGUGACGGUACCCCAGGAAUAAGCACCGGCUAACUCCGUGCCAGCAGCCGCGGUAAUACGGAGGGUGCAAGCGUUGUCCGGAAUCACUGGGCGUAAAGGGUGCGCAGGCGGGGCAGCAAGUCGGAGGUGAAAUCCCACGGCUUAACCGUGGAAGUGCCUUCGAAACUGUUGCUCUUGAGUCCCGGAGAGGCUGCCGGAAUUCGUGGUGUAGCGGUGAAAUGCGUAGAUAUCACGAGGAACACCAGAGGCGAAAGCGGGCAGCUGGACGGGUACUGACGCUCAGGCACGAAAGCGUGGGGAGCAAACA